UGGGGAAUAUUGGACAAUGGGCGCAAGCCUGAUCCAGCCAUGCCGCGUGAGUGAUGAAGGCCCUAGGGUUGUAAAGCUCUUUCACCGGUGAAGAUAAUGACGGUAACCGGAGAAGAAGCCCCGGCUAACUUCGUGCCAGCAGCCGCGGUAAUACGAAGGGGGCUAGCGUUGUUCGGAUUUACUGGGCGUAAAGCGCACGUAGGCGGACUUUUAAGUCAGGGGGUGAAAUCCCGGGGGCUCAACCCCGGAACUGCCUUUGAUACUGGAAGUCUUGAGUAUGGUAGAGGUGAGUGGAAUUCCGAGUGUAGAGGUGAAAUUCGUAGAUAUUCGGAGGAACACCAGUGGCGAAGGCGGCUCACUGGACCAUUACUGACGCUGAGGUGCGAAAGCGUGGGGGAGCAAACAGGAUUAGAUACCCUGGUAGUCCACGCCGUAAACGAUGAAUGUUAGCCGUUGGGGAGUUUACUCUUCGGUGGCGCAGCUAACGCAUUAAACAUUCCGCCUGGGGAGUACGGUCGCAAGAUUAAAACUCAAAGGAAUUGAACGGGGGUCAAGC
rnacentral:rRNA from 1 species